GCAGUCGAGCGGACAGAAGGGAGCUUGCUCCCGGAUGUUAGCGGCGGACGGGUGAGUAACACGUGGGUAACCUGCCUGUAAGACUGGGAUAACUCCGGGAAACCGGAGCUAAUACCGGAUAGUUCCUUGAACCGCAUGGUUCAAGGAUGAAAGACGGUUUCGGCUGUCACUUACAGAUGGACCCGCGGCGCAUUAGCUAGUUGGUGAGGUAACGGCUCACCAAGGCGACGAUGCGUAGCCGACCUGAGAGGGUGAUCGGCCACACUGGGACUGAGACACGGCCCAGACUCCUACGGGAGGCAGCAGUAGGGAAUCUUCCGCAAUGGACGAAAGUCUGACGGAGCAACGCCGCGUGAGUGAUGAAGGUUUUCGGAUCGUAAAGCUCUGUUGUUAGGGAAGAACAAGUGCAAGAGUAACUGCUUGCACCUUGACGGUACCUAACCAGAAAGCCACGGCUAACUACGUGCCAGCAGCCGCGGUAAUACGUAGGUGGCAAGCGUUGUCCGGAAUUAUUGGGCGUAAAGGGCUCGCAGGCGGUUUCUUAAGUCUGAUGUGAAAGCCCCCGGCUCAACCGGGGAGGGUCAUUGGAAACUGGGAAACUUGAGUGCAGAAGAGGAGAGUGGAAUUCCACGUGUAGCGGUGAAAUGCGUAGAGAUGUGGAGGAACACCAGUGGCGAAGGCGACUCUCUGGUCUGUAACUGACGCUGAG
rnacentral:rRNA from 1 species